rnacentral:lncRNA from 1 species
UUUAGUUGUUCAGACCCUGACUUCUUCUGCAUCUUCUCUCCUUUUCUUUGUCUACUUUGAACUUGCGUUGAGAUGGCAGGCUAUAAUGUUCAUGGCUCAUAAGCAUGUGCUUCCGCUUUGCUGUCAAUUGUCAUUGCGAAUCGUCCUCACUGGCUUCUAGUAAAAGCUAUUGCUCAUUUGCACGUGACUUUAUGAAUUUAUGCUUAUGUAUUUUGAUCUUUUGAGACAGGAUUUUCUUAUGCAGCCCAGGCUUGCCUCGGUCUGCUGAGUGCCAGAAUUAGAGGCUCCUGCCAUUGCAUCUUUUUUUGAAAAAGAAAAGAAAAGAAAACAAAAAACAAAAAAAAACGGUUAGAAGGGUGGAGGCUAGGAUCCCAGUAGGUUUUCCAUUUUCGUGGCUUCUAGCUCCCUCUUCUGUUGCUUUUGUGUAAUUCCCCAAAAUGUGACUUCCUUUCUCAGAGACCUGGAUCUAGCUCUCCUGUCCCAUGGUCCUUUUUGCUUUUUACUGUAUUGCUGAAUCUGGAUUCUGUUUCUGGCAGUGUCUUUUGCUUCUGGCUGAUUAGUGUGGAGAGCUUGUGGGGCCCACACUGCUGCGGACACGGAGUUUUGGGGGACACUUAGGUCUCACCCCUCCGUACCAGCCACUUUGCUUUGUCACCUGCUCAUUGCUUCCUUUCACACAGGGCUCAUUUCACAACUGCUUUACAGCUGUUGGUAGUCUGCACCCGUCCACAUAUUUGGAUUUAAGAAUCUUCUUGCCUAGCUUUGUGACACUUAUUGUCCAUGGGCUUGGGGGUUUUCUCUAGCAGACUUAAGGUUUUGGUUCUUACAUGUUUCAGAUAGGGUUCUCUUUAUGGAACCCAGGCUAGCCUCAAACUCCUGAUGCUUCUGUCUCUGUCUCUGGAGUGCUGCGGUUACAGGUGUGCACCACUGUGCCUAACUUGUUUUCUGUUUUUAUUAAGCUACUCAGGAGUGAGAAUAUUUUUUUAAAAUUAUGCCACCACCACAACCUGUCCAGAACCUUCCUAUCAAUUAAUUUUAAUUGAACUAUUAUAAGUUUUGCACACAUUUAAAGCCAUGUGUAGUAGCUCAUGCUUAUAAUCCUAGCAGUUGUGAGUUAGAGGCAGGAGGAUCAGAAGUUUGUUAUCUUCAGUUACACCGUGAGUUUAAGGCGAUCCUAGGCUACAUGAUAUCAAAAAACAAAACAAAACAAAAAACC